rnacentral:sRNA from 2 species
UUGCUAUCUGCGAUAUGGAAGAUUCGAACCUGCGGCAGGUUCGGGUCUCACGUAGUGAGACAACGGAGCCGCUUGCGGCGACGGCCCGAAGGGCGAGCAAAGCGAGUCAUCCUGCACGACCCACCA